UACGUAGGGUGCAAGCGUCGUCCGGAAUUAUUGGGCGUAAAGAUCUCGUAGGCGGUCUGUCGCGUCGGCUGUGAAAACCCGGAGCUCAACUCCGGGCCUGCAGUCGAUACGGGCAGACUGGAGUUCGGCAGGGGAGACUGGAAUUCCUGGUGUAGCGGUGAAAUGCGCAGAUAUCAGGAGGAACACCGGUGGCGAAGGCGGGUCUCUGGGCCGAUACUGACGCUGAGGAGCGAAAGCGUGGGGAGCGAACAGG
rnacentral:rRNA from 1 species